rnacentral:rRNA from 1 species
UACGUAGGGUGCAAGCGUUAAUCGGAAUUACUGGGCGUAAAGCGUGUGCAGGCGGUUAUGUAAGACAGAUGUGAAAUGCCCGGGCUUAACCUGGGAACUGCAUUUGUGACUGCAUGGCUAGAGUUUGGCAGAGGGGGGUAGAAUUCCACGUGUAGCAGUGAAAUGCGUAGAUAUGUGGAGGAACACCGAUGGCGAAGGCAGCCCCCUGGGUCAAGACUGACGCUCAUGCACGAAAG